AACCAUAGAAACCUGCGGAGUACCUGCGGAGGGAUCAUUACAGAGUUGCAAAACUCCCACAAACCAUCGCGAAUCUUACCCGUACGGUUGCCUCGGCGCUGGCGGUCCGGAAGGCCCUCGGGCCCCCGGACCCUCGGGUCCCCCGCUCGCGGGGGGCUGCCCGCCGGUGUGCCGAAACCAAACUCUUGAUAUUUUAUGUCUCUCUGAGUAAACUUUUAAAUAAGUCAAAACUUUCAACAA
rnacentral:misc_RNA from 1 species